rnacentral:rRNA from 1 species
UACGAAGGGUGCAAGCGUUACUCGGAAUUACUGGGCGUAAAGCGUGCGUAGGUGGUUGUUUAAGCCUGUCGUGAAAGCCCUGGGCUCAACCUGGGAAUUGCGAUGGAAACUGGGCGACUAGAGUGUGGCAGAGGGUAGUGGAAUUCCUGGUGUAGCAGUGAAAUGCGUAGAGAUCAGGAGGAACAUCCGUGGCGAAGGCGACUGCCUGGGCCAACACUGACACUGAGGCACGAAAGCGUGGGGAGCAAACAGGAUUAGAUACCCUGGUAGUCCACGCCCUAAACGAUGCGAACUGGAUGUUGGGUGCACUUUGGCACGCAGUAUCGAAGCUAACGCGUUAAGUUCGCCGCCUGGGGAGUACGGUCGCAAGACUGAA